rnacentral:rRNA from 1 species
UUACGACUACAUAUCAGGCAUAUCAAUAAGCGGAGGAAAAGAAACUAACAAGGAUUCCCUUAGUAACGGCGAGUGAAGCGGGAAGAGCUCAAAUUUGAAAUCUUCAAGGUUUUACCUUGACGAAUUGUAGUUUAAAGAAGUGUUUUCUGUUGAAGUUUUGGUAAAAGUUCUUUGGAAUAGGACAUCAUAGAGGGUGAGAAUCCCGUAUUUGACCAUUAUUUUCAGCUGUGUGAUACACUUUCAAAGAGUCGGAUUGUUUGGGAAUGCAGUCCAAAAUGGGUGGUAAAUUUCAUCUAAAGCUAAAUAUUGGCGAGAGACCGAUAGCGAACAAGUACCGUGAGGGAAAGAUGAAAAGAACUUUGAAAAGAGAGUUAAACGGUACGUGAAAUUGUCAAAAGGGAAGCGUUUGACACCAGUGUUGUUUUCUCGAAAAUCAAUUAAAAAAAGUUGGAUUUUGUGUUGUAUUGACCUUAACAGCUUGCUUCACUCUUUUCCAGCUUUUUUUAAUGCACUUUUCGUUUAACAAGUCAACAUCAGUUUCUUUUGUUGUAAAAGGGUCAUUGGAAGGUGGCUUUCUCUUCGGAGAAAGUGUUUAUAGCCUUUGGCCUCUGCAAUCGGAGAGACUGAGGUCUGCAGCGUAGAUCCUUCGGGGUUAGAUACAUUUGUGCUAAGCUACAGCUUUUCAUAGACAACUUGUUGACUAUGUUUAGUCUUGUGACUUACCCGCUUAUGCUAUUUACCUACGCUUAGGAUGUUGAGCGCAUGUCUCUCUCU